GACGAACGCUGGCGGCGUGCUUAACACAUGCAAGUCGAACGGUGAGGCCCAGCUUUUGUUGGGUGGUCGAGUGGCGAACGGGUGAGUAACACGUGAGUAACCUGCCCCCUUCUUUGGGAUAACGCCCGGAAACUGGUGCUAAUACCGGAUAUUCACUGCUCUUCGCUUGGGGGUUUGUGCAAAGUGCGUAGGUGGUGGGUGUUGGACGCGCUGCUUAUCUGGUUGUUGGGGGGGUGAUUGCCGACGACGGGUUUGUAGGGUAGCCGGCCUGGGAGGGUGGCCGGCGACAUUGGGACUGAGAUACGGCGCAGAGUCGUACGGGGGACAGCAGGGGGGAGGAUGGCACAAUGGUGGGAAGCCUGAGGCAGAGACGUCGCGGGCUGGAUGUCGGGCUUCGGGUGGGAAACCGCUUAAGCCGGUGACGAAGCGUGAGUGACGGUAAUGGGUAAAGAAGCACCGGCUAACUACGUG
rnacentral:rRNA from 1 species